CACUAGCAACUGCCGAAGACAGUAGGUGCUGAAAAGCGUAAGUAGUGAACGCCUACCGAGGAAGAAUGAAUUUUUACAUCUGUAUGAAUUUAUGUGCUUUCGUGUCUUUGGAUACGAAAGCUUUUUAAGUUU
rnacentral:sRNA from 1 species